rnacentral:rRNA from 1 species
UACGUAGGGUGCGAGCGUUGUCCGGAAUUAUUGGGCGUAAAGGGCUCGUAGGCGGUUUGUCGCGUCGGGAGUGAAAACCUUGGGCUUAACUCAGGGCUUGCUUUCGAUACGGGCAGACUAGAGGUAUGCAGGGGAGAACGGAAUUCCUGGUGUAGCGGUGAAAUGCGCAGAUAUCAGGAGGAACACCGGUGGCGAAGGCGGUUCUCUGGGCAUGAUCUGACGCUGAGGAGCGAAAGUGUGGGGGAGCGAACAGG